UACGUAGGGUGCUACCGUUGUUCGGAAUCACUGGGCAUAAAGAGCGCGUAGGCGGUCUGAUAAGUCAGGUGUGAAAUCCCCCGGCUCAACCGGGGAACUGCACCUGAUACUGUUGGGCUUGAGUGCAAGAGGGGAGAGCGGAAUUCCUGGUGGAGCGGUGAAAUGCGUAGAUAUCAGGAGGAACGCCGGCGGCGAAAGCGGCUCUCUGGCCUGUCUACUGACGCUGAGGCGCGAAAGCUAGGGGAGCAAACGGG
rnacentral:rRNA from 1 species